CCACCAGACCGAGGAGGCAUUCCAGGAGCUUCAGGAACAGAGUUUGUCCUGGUUGAUAAACGUUGCAGACCUUUUAGAUGCUGCUGUUCAGGAUGUUGUAAACCUGAAAACCAGUCAGCACUUUUCACCUGGAUGAUUAAUGAAGAUCACACAGGAAUCAAAGCCACAUCUGAAACUAGACUUCUGUUAAUGUCCUGUUUGCACGACUUGGAAAACCUGUCCGGGUAACUGCACAUGACCAAAAGAUGGCAGCAUUGAUGAAGCAUACGCUGAAUCCAUCUGCAGAGUUUAUGCUGAAGUCACGAGGGGACAGAUACUGAGAUGAGUCUUUUCAGUGAAUCCUGCAAGACAAACCUGAAUCAACACGACAAGUUGCACAUCUGGAUGGACCAGACCAGAAUGUGAGCAUCCACCACCCCCAUGCAAGAUGCAUGGACCUCUUUGUUAAAGAAAAUCUAGAAGAGCUUACAUUAAAAUAAAAAUGUUAAAAAUGAGCCAUGAAAACUAGGAUAACAAUAUUAAAGGUCAUGAACUCUAAUCGCUGCCUUUCAUUGGCUGGUUGUGUGUUUACAUAAGGUGGGGUGG